UACGUAGGGGGCAAGCGUUGUCCGGAUUUAUUGGGCGUAAAGAGCGUGUAGGCGGUCAGGUAGGUCCGUUGUGAAAACUCGAGGCUCAACCUCGAGACGCCGAUGGAAACCAUCUGACUAGAGUCCGGAAGAGGAGAGUGGAAUUCCUGGUGUAGCGGUGAAAUGCGCAGAUAUCGGGAGGAACACCAGUGGCGAAGGCGAGUCUCUGGGAUGAUGCUGACGCUGAGGCGCGGAAGCCAGGGGAGCAAACAGG
rnacentral:rRNA from 1 species